rnacentral:rRNA from 1 species
AUACGUAGGUGGCAAGCGUUGUCCGGAUUUACUGGGCGUAAAGGGAGCGUAGGUGGAUAUUUAAGUGGGAUGUGAAAUACCUGAGCUUAACUUGGGUGCUGCAUUCCAAACUGGAUAUCUAGAGUGCAGGAGAGGAAAGUGGAAUUCCUAGUGUAGCGGUGAAAUGCGUAGAGAUUAGGAAGAACCCCAGUGGCGAAGGCGACUUUCUGGACUGUAACUGACACUGAGGCUCGAAAGCGUGGGGAGC